rnacentral:rRNA from 1 species
UACGUAGGGUGCGAGCGUUAAUCGGAAUUACUGGGCGUAAAGCGUGCGCAGGCGGUUCGCUGUGGCCUGUGUGAAAGCCCCGGGCUUAACCUGGGAAUGGCAUGGGAAACUGGCGGGCUGGAGUGUGGCAGAGGGGGGUGGAAUUCCGCGUGUAGCAGUGAAAUGCGUAGAGAUGCGGAGGAACACCGAUGGCGAAGGCAGCCCCCUGGGCUAACACUGACGCUCAGGCACGAAAGCGUGGGGAGCAACCAGG